rnacentral:tRNA from 1 species
UGGCACAGUGGUUGUGCAUUUGGCUGCUAACCGAAAGGUUGGUGGUUCGAACCCACC